rnacentral:rRNA from 1 species
GACGAACGCUGGCGGCGUGCUUAACACAUGCAAGUCGAACGGAAAGGCCCUGCUUUUGUGGGGUGCUCGAGUGGCGAACGGGUGAGUAACACGUGAGUAACCUGCCCUUGACUUUGGGAUAACUUCAGGAAACUGGGGCUAAUACCGGAUAGGAGCUCCUGCUGCAUGGUGGGGUUGGAAAGUUUCGGCAGUUGGGGAUGGACUCGCGGCUUAUCAGCUUGUUGGUGGGGUAGUGGCUUACCAAGGCUUUGACGGGUAGCCGGCCUGAGAGGGUGAACGGCCACAUUGGGACUGAGAUACGGCCCAGACUCCUACGGGAGGCAGCAGUGGGGAAUAUUGCACAAUGGGCGGAAGCCUGAUGCAGCAACGCCGCGUGCGGGAUGACGGCCUUCGGGUUGUAAACCGCUUUCGCCUGUGACGAAGCGUGAGUGACGGUAAUGGGUAAAGAAGCACCGGCUAACUACGUGCCAGCCGCCGCGGUAAAAC